rnacentral:rRNA from 1 species
UGGGGAAUAUUGCACAAUGGGGGAAACCCUGAUGCAGCGACGCCGCGUGAGCGAAGAAGGUUUUCGAAUCGUAAAGCUCUGUCCUAUGGGAAGAUAAUGACGGUACCAUAGGAGGAAGCUCCGGCUAACUACGUGCCAGCAGCCGCGGUAAUACGUAGGGGGCAAGCGUUGUCCGGAAUCACUGGGCGUAAAGGGUUCGCAGGCGGAAAUGCAAGUCAGUUGUGAAAGGCAGAGGCUCAACCUCUGUAAGCAAUUGAAACUGUAUUUCUUGAGAUGUGGAGAGGCAAGUGGAAUUCCGAGUGUAGCGGUGAAAUGCGUAGAUAUUAGGAAGAAUACCGGUGGCGAAGGCGACUUGCUGGACACAAACUGACGCAGAGGAACGAAAGAGGGAGUAGCAAACAGG